CUAGCAUGAUUAACAAGUUGCUAGCAUGUUUCUAGCAUGAUUAGCAUGUUUUCUAGCAUGAUUAGCAAAUCGCUAGCAUGUUUCUAGCAUGAUUAGCAAGUCGCUAGCAUGUUUCUAGCAUGAUUAGCAAAGUCGCUAGCAUGUUUCUAGCAUGAUUAGCAAAGUCGCUAGCAUGUUUCUAGCAUGAUUAGCAAAGUUGCUAGCAUGUUUCUAGCAUGAUUAGCAUGUUUUCUAGCAUGAUUAGCAAGUCGCUAGCAUGUUUCUAGCAUGAUUAGCAAGUUGCUAGCAUG